CUACGGAGGGUGCAAGCGUUACUCGGAAUCACUGGGCGUAAAGCGCGCGCAGGCGGCUUGAUAAGUUGGAUGUGAAAGCCUACAGCUCAACCGUAGAACUGCAUCCAAAACUGUCAAGCUAGAGUCUGGGAGGGGAAGAUGGAAUUAGUUGUGUAGGGGUAAAAUCCGUAGAGAUAACUAGGAAUACCAAAAGCGAAGGCGAUCUUCUGGAACAGUACUGACGCUGAGGCGCGAAAGCGUGGGGAGCAAACAGGAUUAGAAACCCCAGUAGUCC
rnacentral:rRNA from 1 species